UAUUGUAUGGCCGUAGGCCUGUAGCCUGUUUGCCAAUAGCAAAAACAUUGGUGACUUUCUUACUGUCCAGCAAACCGAUCGGAAGAUGAAAACUACACAGAUGACUGAACAACUAUUAAUUCAGCCGGUGAUGGUGAUGGUGAAGCAGUAGCAGGGCAAAAAAGAAAUCAGCAAUAAAAAUCCCCAAUUCAAGCCGAGGAUAUCAAACUCCGUCUCCGAGAGAUCCGAUUUUCAAAUAUAUUGUAUGCGAUUCUUGAGCUUGUGGCCUUGGCUGCAACUUUCAUUUCGAAAGUUGAUUAGUGAUCAGGUGCUCUGCUAGGCAAAUGUGAGGCAUGUAUACUUCAACAUACCAAUGGAAUCAGGUUCCUUGGUUUCUCUUUAAUUAAAAAUUGCUUUAUUUGCAUUUAUUUAUAAAAAAAUUAACAUGGUCCUGUGGUGUGCAUUUUUCCGGGUUUUCGUCCAAACCCGAAAAAAAAGGCCCCGUUAGAAUUUGAUAUCGAAUUAUUAUUAUAGCCUAGAGCAUAGUUGUUGGUCCAUUUGGCAAUAGUAUUUGUAUUAUAAAUUAAAAACCCCCCACCCAUCUUUUAAAAUUAUGAUUAAUUUGUGACAAAACUGCAAAAAUGAUCCUGUGGUAUGCAUUUUUUCCUGGUUUUCAUCCAAACUUCGAAUUUUUUGACUUCAUAGUCCUCUUAGCCAUGUUUUUAUGUGGAAAUGGUCCCUCUGAAAAUUUAAAUGACUAUUAUACCCUUCUAUUCUUAUUUUUACAUAUUUUUAAUAUCUAUUUUAAUAUUUUAAUAGUUAAAACAAUAGAAGGGGGCCCACACACAUCCUCUCUCUCUCUCUCUCUCUCUCUCUCUCUCUCUCUCUCCAAAAUCAAUCAAUCAAUCCACCCCCCAAAACAGAAAUUUUGAAUCUUCCCAACUACGGAUUUGGCGUAAGGAUCCGAUUCAUAUGAUCCUGGAGAACCUGCAGGUCCAUUGUAGCGUGGUGGUGCAUUUGAGCUACCCAAACCCAAUGGCGUCGUGUUCUUGUCUACUAAAACAAGCUAGGGGGAGCCUCGAAGCACCCAUCAGCUGGCUAACGACAGCGUACGAGGAGAACGGCGGCCAUCAGAGUCAAACUCGUUUGGUGUGAGAGCUGUGAGGAUAUAUUUGAUGGAGGUGAAAGAUAGUCAAGCCAAGGCUAGAGGUAUUCCAUAUGAUUUCUUAUGCGCGUGAGAGUGUGUGUGCUCAUCUGAUUUCAUGUGUGUGUGUGUGUGUUUGAAUCUGAAACCCUAAACAUGUAUGGGUGUGUGAAGUCGAUUAUGGAAAACAAACAUAUAGGUUUGCAUUUCAAGAACAUGUUUAUGCCAAGGUAUUCUUGGGUGGAUCUGAGAUCUCUUUCUUCUCUUUCCUCUCUUUAGGAACAAAAUCAAAAUUAAACAAGUGAGUUUGUGAAUGAA